UCAGUAGCUGGUCUGAGAGGACGACCAGCCACACUGGGACUGAGACACGGCCCAGACUCCUACGGGAGGCAGCAGUGGGGAAUUUUGGACAAUGGGCGCAAGCCUGAUCCAGCAAUGCCGCGUGUGUGAAGAAGGCCUUCGGGUUGUAAAGCACUUUUGUCCGGAAAGAAAUCAUUCUGGCUAAUACCCGGAGUGGAUGACGGUACCGGAAGAAUAAGCACCGGCUAACUACGUGCCAGCAGCCGCGGUAAUACGUAGGGUGCGAGCGUUAAUCGGAAUUACUGGGCGUAAAGCGUGCGCAGGCGGUUUGCUAAGACCGAUGUGAAAUCCCCGGGCUCAACCUGGGAACUGCAUUGGUGACUGGCAGGCUAGAGUAUGGCAGAGGGGGGUAGAAUUCCACGUGUAGCAGUGAAAUGCGUAGAGAUGUGGAGGAAUACCGAUGGCGAAGGCAGCCCCCUGGGCCAAUACUG
rnacentral:rRNA from 1 species